GUCCUUGCCGUAAACGAUGUAUACUUGAUGUAAUUGGGCUCAACUCUGAUUGUGUAGAAGCUAACGCGAUAAGUAUACCGCCUGGGGAGUACGCUCGCAAGGGUGAAACUCAAAAGAAUUGACGGGGGCCCCGCACAAGCAGUGGAGCAUGUGGUUUAAUUCGAUGCAACGCGAAGAACCUUACCCAGGCUCGAAAUGUAAUGGCUAGUACCAGAAAUGGUAUGUUCCGCAAGGACUGUUAUAUAGGUGCUGCAUGGCUGUCGU
rnacentral:rRNA from 1 species